rnacentral:rRNA from 1 species
GACGGAGGGUGCAAGCGUUGUUCGGAAUUACUGGGCGUAAAGGGCGCGUAGGCGGUCUGUUAAGUUCGGUGUGAAAGCCCCCGGCUCACCUGGGGAACUGCGCCGGAAACCGACAGACUCGAGUACUGGAGAGGAGGGUGGAAUUCCUGGUGUAGCGGUGAAAUGCGUAGAUAUCAAGAGGAACACCUGAGGCGAAGGCGGGUUGCUAGGCUGACACUGACGCUGAAGCGCGAAAGCCAGGGGAGCAAACGGG